GCUAUUCAUAGAGGUCCCUUUCACCAUGUUAUACGGGUCAGAUGCAAUGCUAUUCAUAGAGAUCGACAUGCCCUCAUGACGACGUUCUCAGUUUGACCAGAAGGUGAACGAUUCUGAGUUGAGGCGUGAUGCUGAUUUAAUCAAGAAGUAUGGGAUGUCACCCAUAUCCUAGAGUUUGUCGCCAAGCAAAUAGCAGCCAAAAGAUAUAACUCUUAGGUAAUGCCAAUGGAAAUGCAGGAAGGUGACUCAGAUUUAAGGAAAGUUG
rnacentral:lncRNA from 1 species